AACAAAAAUGUAUUUAAUGCAGAUGGGGACAAGUGAACAACAUUCGUGAUUGGACUUGCAAAAACCAAAAAUCUCCAUAAGCAAUGUUUUUUUUUAAGUAAAGGCAUACCAAAAAGGCUUUUUUCAAAAUUGCUGUCAUGCUGCUAAAAAUGACACCACUUAUUUCCUAGCCCUGUUCUAGGAUGUGUCCAUCUGCUUCACCCAAGUGCUAGACUUCCAGGGAGGGGCCAGGGGGCAGACAGUAUUCAGUCUCUAUGGUAGAAGGAAUAAUGAGAAAAGCCCUGAUGGAGGAGUGUACUUGAUGUGUUCAAGACACAGUUCAGAGAACAGUGAGGAGGAAGGAGAGGAGAAAGGCACUGUGACAGAUAUUUUGGGACACAGAGGUGACCGUGCUUGGCAUGAAUUCUUCCUUUCAUGAAACUUGCAGUAAAGCAGAAAAGGGAAAUGAAACUUCAGUGGUAGCGUUUGGCAAUGAGAAAAGAAAGAAUUGUACCUAUGUGGGAAAUAUAAGGGUGUGUUGGGAAUUCCAGCAUUUGUCCCAGAUGCACUUAUGAAGGAAAAGUGAUCGAGUGAAGUGUUUAGGAUAUGUGUGGAAAAUGUUUACGAUACAAGUUUCAAUGAAAACAAAAAGACUGGUUAUAUAGGAUUAUAAGCAGAUGAAAACAAACAACCUUUGAACAGAAAAGCCAAAAAUAAGAACAAUGAUAAACUGUAUAGAUAAGAGAUAAUGUCCAUGUUGAUACAAAUACAAGAAGCUGCCUUCAGUGGGUUGAAUGAUGGACCCAAGGAAGGAUAUCUCCAUAUCCUAAUCCCCUGAAACUAUGAGUGUUCUCAUAUUUGGUCAAAGGGAUUUUGCAGAUGUAAUUAUAUCAAGGAUUUUGAGAUUAUCCUGCAUUGUCGGUUGAGCCUUAAAUCCAGUGACAAGUGUCUUUAUAACCCACAUACAGAGGAGGAAAAGACAGACACAGAAAGGAAAGAGAGGUGAAGAUGGAAGCAGAGAUUAGAAUGACUUGACCACAAACCAAGGAAGCUGGCAUAUUCCAGAAGAGUUAACCAUUAGGAAAAGAAAAGAAACAGAAUCGCGAGAAAGCAAGAAAUCAAUCGAUCAGUUUAUCA